AGAGAUAUUUACAUGCAGUUUUUCGAAAAUUAUUGGGAUCUUUGGCUGCGUUUGGUUCGGGUAUAAGUAAGAACUGCUUGUUCCAGGGAUAGGUAAAAGUUCAGGUAUAAGCAGGAACUAGACCAAUUUUGCGUUUGGAUGAAAAUUGAGUUGUUCCUAGGAAUAAGACAAAUAGCGUUUGGAUGGUUAAAUUGGAACAAGAGGAAUAAAAGUUAUAAUUUGAAAUUAAAAUUAUAUUAUCUAAUUAACUAACAUCAAAAUAUUACUAAAAAAUAAAUAAUAAAUAAAUUAUUAAUAAAUUAAUUAUUAGUAUUAAUAAUUAUAAAUAAUUAAUUAUAAAUAAUAAUAAUUAUUAAUAAUUACUAAUAAUUAUUUAUAAGUAAUAAAUUAAUUAAUAAUAAUUAUCUAAUUAUUAAUAAUUAAUUAUAAAUCAUUAUUAAUAAAUAAUAAUAAUAAUUAUUAAUUAUUAAUUAUUAAUAGAAAAUUACUAAUAAUAUCGAUUAUCUAAUUAAUAAGAAUGAUUAUUUUAUUAUUAAUUAUGAAUUAAAUAAUAAUAUUAAUAAUUAAUUAUAAGUAAUAAAUUAAUAAUAAUAAUUAUCUAAUUAUUAAUAAUUAAUUAUAAAUAAUAAAUUAAUAAUAAUAUCGAUUAUCUAUUUCUUAAGAAUAAUAAUUAUUAUUUAAUUAAUAAUUAUUAAUAAAUAAUAAUUAUUAAAUUAUUUAUUAUUGUUAUCUAAUUAUAAAUAAUUAAUUAUAAUUAAUUAUUUAUUUAUUUAUUUUAUUAUUUAAGCAAUAGAUAAUGAUUUAAAUAUAUUAAUUAGAUUAAUUAAUAAUUUACUAUCAUUAAAAUUUAAAUUUAACUUUAAUUAACCUUGUUCUUAUCCGGAAAUAAGCUUGUUCUAGGAAAAAGGUGGAACAGCAGUUCCAGCCAGUUUCAGCCUUAUACCAGCUAGUUCCAAAAACCCGGGAACUGCUGUUUUCGGCUACCAAACGCUGCGUUUGGAAACAAAGGGGGGAACAAGGGCUUAUUCUCCCCCUUGUUCCCGAACCAAACGCUACCUGAGUCUAAUUUAAAAUUAACUCUGACUAGGAUAUAUAUAUAUAUAGAGAGAGAGAGAGAGAGAGAGAGAGAGAGAGAGAGAGUUCGGCUACUAUGCCCAUAAGAGGAUAGAAGCUAAUGUGCUUUCAAGUUAUUUUGGAUGAUCAGAACUUCAAAUUGAUAAUCGGCACCGUUGAAAUUGAUCUACACUAUUAGAAAUAUUUAACAACUGAAUUUUGUAAAUUUUAAAAAAUUAUUAUCAAGUCCAUCGAAGAGUCGAAAAAUGAACGGUCAAAAACAAAUGAUUUUCUGAAAACAGUGGUUAAGAUGAUAGAAAUCUUUGUCCUAUUAAGUUAUUUUAAAUGAUCAGAACUUUAAAUUGAUUUUAAUCGGCAAUGUUGAAAUUCAUAGGAC
rnacentral:lncRNA from 1 species